CAGCCGCCGCGGGAAUACGAAGGGGGCUAGCGUUGUUCGGAAUUACUGGGCGUAAAGCGCACGUAGGCGGAUAUUUAAGUCAGGGGUGAAAUCCCAGAGCUCAACUCUGGAACUGCCUUUGAUACUGGGUAUCUUGAGUAUGGAAGAGGUGAGUGGAAUACCGAGUGUAGAGGUGAAAUUCGUAGAUAUUCGGAGGAACACCAGUGGCGAAGGCGGCUCACUGGUCCAUUACUGACGCUGAGGUGCGAAAGCGUGGGGAGCAAACAGGAUUAGAUACCCGCGUAGUCCCUGUCUCUUAUAC
rnacentral:rRNA from 1 species